ensembl:lncRNA
UUUUUCAACUUCUAAUUUCAGAUGAUACAACAACAAAAACUGUGGAAAAUGAAAGCACGACAGCAAACAACAAACCGUCAGGAGAUUCACAACAUGGUGUCCAGUGGUUCAUCAUUCCAGCUGUGGGUUUGGUCUCACUCUUGAUAAUAGUUGUGGUUUUCAUCAGAUGGAAGAGAACUAGAGGAAAUAAAACACAGAUGGAUGAAGAUGCUGUGAGUUUUAACAUAAAUAAUUAAUGUUUUUACAAUUGGCAUUAAAUAAACAACAAAUCCGAUCAUCUCUGAGCGGUGUUAACAAGAACUAAACUGCCUUCACAGACACAGUUUACCACCUGAUGUAACCAGAUUAUGUCUGUUUUUCAGGGACUGAGUUUAAACCCUGCAGAGACUCGGUCUGCUCCUCAAACCAGUCAGGACUCAGUGAGAUCACACACUACACCCAGAGCAGAGUUACAACCACCUAUUCUUUAAUGUGUUGUCUAAAUGUAAAUGCAUGACACACUGAGACUCUGAUGGUAGUGAUUUUGAGGAGUGGUCUGCUUCUGAAUGUGAAUAAGACCAGAUAGAUGGCGAAUGACUUCAGAAGGAAGAUGAUGGUUAUAUAACCAGUGUUUAUUCUGGGACAGUAUGGUUGUCUGUCUCUCUCUGUUUGCCCUGUGACAGGGCUGGGCAUACAGGGUGUACCUCACCUCUCGCCCCAUGGUAGCUGGGAUAGGCUCCAGCCCCCCCAGUGACCCUGAUAAAGAUAAGCAGAAGAGAAUGGAUGAAUGGACAAUGUUGAUGUGGUGGAGGAGGUACAAGUAUCUGGGCAUCCACAUCUGGCCAUUGAACAAAUUGUUGCUCAUUACAGUCACACUGACCUCCCUUAUUUAACAGGAAUUGGAGGAUGUCUUGAUGUAUGCUCAAUCAUCCAGGUAACGUUUCGUCACUCAUCCAAGUGACUUCUUCAGUCUCAGCUGACUGCAGGUUUCUCCAAUCUUAUAAACAGUACAUUUGCAUAAUGACUGAAACCAGCAUCACUGAAGGAACAAUGGGCUGGGAGGUCAGUUCCUUGAUCAUUAACGUUUCUCCCACUGAAAACGCUACGUCCAGAUGAACAGAAUCAACUUUUGGGGAAGUGGAGGAUCUUCUGUAGCAGACUGAUUCAGCUCUGCUGCCACAAAAAACAAAAAUAUUUCAUACCCCAUGCGAUCACCUUCUACUAUAAUAAUAAUAAUAAUAAUAAUUCUUAUUAUUAUUAUUAUUAUUAUAAUUAUAAUAAUAGUAUUAGUUACACAAAAGUGUAAAGUAUUUCUCAUGUCAUCAUGUUAAUGUGUCUGUAUCUUCUUGUCUUCACUGUAUAGGUGGAUCCUGAAGUUUCCUACGCUACCAUCAGCUACACCAAGACCAACAAUAAAGUUCAGGUUCGGGGUGAUGAUGAAGGUGAUGCAGUGACCUACAGCACUGUGAAGGCUCAUUCCUCUUCUCACUCGUCACUCUGAUCAGCCACUGCUGAUCCCAGCAGCCUCUCCUCUGCUGUCACUUUUCCACUCACAUAGUUCAAGUUGACAAAAAGGACUUGCAUUUAAGUUAAAGACUUUUGUUUUGUGUUUGCAUACAGCAGAUUGGUAGCAACAUGCUAAUUAACGUAAAUGAUUAGAUAGAUACCAUAAUUAUAACAAAUAUUUGGUUUCAAAUCCAGAAUCAUGUCUUUAUAUCCUCCAUUAAAACUAUGUAAAUAAAUGUAAAUAGAAACUUUUUCUUAAUUUUCUUAAUGAAGUCAGACCAGUGUGUUUCCAUAAUGUGAUCCAAGUGUGAAUAUCUAAAUGCAAACAAACCAAAAGCCUUGCAUAGAUAUUACUGAUAUAGUUAUAUGUUUAUAUUUUAUGAUAUUUCACAGGAAAAAAAACUUUUCUGCAAACAUUUUUGUAAGUUAUCAAAAAAUAAAAUUGGUCCUGGUUAGUGCAGCAGAAGACAUGUGGAGGUUGAAAUUUAAUUUAAACCCUGGUUACACUUGCUGUUCAGUUUAAUUUAAAUGCAUUAAUUUAACUAAGUAAUGAU